rnacentral:sRNA from 1 species
UGAGAGGAUGAGAAUCUCCGAAGGAGGUUUGAGCCGAACGUAGUGAGACCACGUUGCUUUAGCAACGGCCCGCAGGGCAAGCAUCGAAGAUGCGCAUAAUCCUCUCAUGCCGACCA